CGCCCUCCGUUUAUACCUGUCUCAAACUCACUUCUGAUUAGAAAACAUCUACUCGUUGAUUCUUCUGAGGGAAUUUAAGAAUCUUUAAAGUGGAGGACUUUGAUCGAUUUGAGGACCACGGGCUGGAGGAGUGCCAAGACGUGAACUGCCCAGCAGUUUGAUUGAUGUGAGCCAGGAAAGACACUAAGCUAACAGUAAUGGAAGGUUGUGUAGAGCAGCUCCAGAAGUGAUGCGUUCUUCACUGACACUGAUGUUCCAGAACAGCAGAAAAAAUGGUACUGAAUAUUUCAGCAGGGAUCAGGAGUCUUCAGGCGCGUCUUUUCCUUUUGUCCUGUAAGUAUGCACCUUUCCUAAACAACUGUAGGCGACUUCAGAUGAUGUCUUUUCCACUUUGUUAAUAGCAUACUUUGAGUCUUUACUUUCUAGUGUUUAAAUGAACAUUCACCAGCCUGAGUAAGGAAAAAGAAUUCAUUUUGAUGAUCCAGUCACUCCAUAUUGGAAAAUGUACUGGAAAAUACUACAGUGCAAAAGGGAUAUCUUAGCAAGUAACAAUAUCUUGAAUAUCGGCAAAUUCAACUAAUAUUUCUCUAUUUGAUUGAUUUUAAACUAAUCUGAGUAAGUCUGUUGUGUAUAUUUUGACCCAUUUCAAGUUUGGAAUGGUCUUAUUCAAUUGCUAGAUUGCUUGAAAUUAGAAAAUAUGUAUAAAUAUACAGUGCUGCCCCAUCCUGAUUUCUUCUGUUUUUGUGUAUAUACUAACUAGUUUUAGAUUUUCAAAUGAAAUACAACAUAAAACAAAGGCAAUCUGAGUAAACACACAAUCCAGUUUUUAUUAUUUCUUUUUUUUUUACUGACGCAAAAAAAGGUUAUCCAUCACCUAUCACUCAUGUGAAAAACUAAUUGCCUCCUUAAACUUAAAAUCUGCUUAAAAAACUGCAACCAAACACUUCUGAUAACUGGGGAUCAGUCUUUCACAGCAUUGUGGUGGAAUUGUGACCCACUCGUCCUUGCAGAACUGCUUUAGUUCAGCCACAUUGGAGGGUUUUCAAGCAAAGCAUCCCCACACCAUCACACUUCCACCACCAUGCUUAUUGUCACGGAACGGGACUGGAAGUGGAUGCAGAUCAAAGUCUUUAUUACACGCGUAACUCAACAAACAAAGAAAACGCGGUCUUCACAGGAAAACGAGAAACUGGAAUCAUGGCAUGAAACGAGAGCAGGCAUGAAACUAGACCGCUUAGCAUGCUAACGCAUUUGCUACCAUAUGCAAACAUAACUUGCGUUACAAACAAUAAUACUGCACGAAGUGCGCAGUAACCGAGGGGUUUAAAUAGCCAACAUAAUCAAACUUUGUUUUUUUUUGUGGAAUUCUGUGUUUGGUUUACGCCAGAUGAAACGGGACCCCUGUCUUCCAAACAGUUCCACUUUUGACUCAUCAGUCCACAGAACAUUUCCCCACAAAGUUUGAGGAUCAUCAAGAGAUGUUUUGGUGAAAUUCAGACGAGCCUUAAUGUUCUUCUGGGUUAGAAGUGGUUUUCACCUCGCCACUCUUCCAUGGACGCCAUUUUCCCCCAGUGUCUUUCUGAUAGCGGAGUCAUGAAUAGUGACCUUUAUUGAUGUAAGAGAGACCUGUAGGUCCUUUGAUGUUGUCCUUGGCUCUUUUGUGACUUCCUGGAUGAGUAGAUGCUGUGCUCUUGGAGGAAUUUUGGAAGGUCGGACACUUCUGAGAAGAUUCACUACUGUGCUGAGUUUUUCCAUUUGGGGAUAACGGUUCUCACUGUGGUCCUUUGGAGUCCCAGAGCUGUUGAAAUAGCUUUUUAACCCAGACUGAUGCAUUUCAAUCACCUUCUUCCUCAUAAUUUCUGGAAUUUCUUUCAACUUUGGCAUAGUGUGUUACUGAGUAAGACCUUUUAACCAACUUCAUGCUGCUGAAAAAGUUCUAUUUAAGUGUUGAUUUGAUUGAUCAGGGUUUGCAGUAAUCAGGCCUGGUUGUGUCUAGUCCAGUUUAAUAGAUUUGGGGAAUUCAUAACUGCGGGGGCAAACACAUUUUCACACAGGCCCAGUUGGUAUUGGAUAACUUUUUUUGCUUCAAUAAAUAACAUUAUCAUUUAAAAACUGUAUCAUGUGUUUAUUCGGGUUGCCUUUGUUGUAUCUUAGAUUUUGUUUUCAUUUCUGAAACAAUUCAGUACGAGAUCUACACAAAACAGAAGUGAUCAGGAUGGGGGCAAAUACUUUCACAGCACUGUACAGUGGGUUUCGUAGUUUUCUGUUUGUUAUAAUAUUUCUACAGGCAAUGUUUGCUUCAUUAUUUCCUUUGUUCAUCACCUGCUAACAUUUAUUUAUGUUUUGCAGUGUAAGCAAUAUACAGUAUUUGUAAAAACACGUUUCUCCAGCGUUAUUUAAAUACACACUCACUGUCAGCUUCAUUAGGAGCACCUGUACACCUGAGGCUAUAGUGAAACAGGUUUACUGAAACUAUGCAAUUGAUGAUUGGAUGAAGGCGAUAGUUUUUUCAGUGUUCAGCUGUCCAUUUUGGGUUAGUCCGUACCCAUCCUAGCCUCAGAUCCCUGUUCUUGGCUGACAGAAGUGGAACCCCAAUGUUGCCUUCUGCCAGUGUAGCCCAUCCGCCUCCAGAUUCAACAUGUUGUGCUUUCUAGGAUGUUUUUCUGCUCAGGAUGGUUUUAGUUACUGUAGCAUUCCUGUAAGCUGGAAUCAGUUUGGCCAUUCUAGUCUGACCUUUCUCAUUAACCAGGCUUUUCCAUCUGCAGAACUAGUGCUUACUGGAUGUUUUUGUUGUCUGUACCAUUCCCUGUAAUCUCUAGAGACGUUUGUGUCCUUGGAGAUCUGCACCUUGUGAAAUACAAACAUGGCAUAAUCAAAGUCACGGAGAUCAUAUUUUGAUUCCCCAAUUUUGAUGUUUAAUGUGAACAUAACUCUUGACCUGUAUCUGCAUGACUUUAUGCAUUGCAUUGAUGACUGUUUGACUGAUUGGAAACUGCAUGCAGCUGUGAAUGUGCAUGCUCAAUAGAUCUUUUAAAAAAAAAGAUCUAAAUCUGGAACAUGCUUAUUCUGCUUGCAUAAGUAUUCAACUUCUUUAGACUAGUACUUGGUAAAAAAUGGGUCUGGAAUGUGCAUAUGCAACACCCCCUUCAGAAACUGGGAUUUACGGAACCUUUGUCCCUUCCGUAGAGCCACCCUCAACAUUUCAGAAACACUGGGAAUUAGCAAUGCCCUGGCUAUGUAGAGAAUUACAAUGUGGAAAUGAAUUGUGGGUAAUUAUAGGCUGGGUUAGGGUUAGGAUGUGAAGUAAUUUCACACAUUCACAGAUUUAUUGAUAGGCUACAGAAUAAUAUAAAUAGGCUAGAGAAUUAUGCAUUUACUAUGGCACAAUGGCAUUUCUGGUAUUGUUAGAAGACCUUGAACCGAACAAUAAGGCAAUAACGUGGUUUUAGACACCACAAAGAUUUCCUUGCCAUGACAACUGGUAAAGAGCUGAUUUAAUUUCCAAAAGCCAUUCUUUAGGAACUAAGUGCUGAGAUGCUCCCAGGUUUUGAGAGACUAGCAUGCACCUGUCCACUUCUUAACAACCCUUCGAUGGGUCAGUGAUAUCCCAUACUUAAGCUCCAUCAUGUCAGCUGUAUUGAUUGGCAUAAUUAAACUGACAAGUCGGUACAUCAGAGUUUCUUACACACUGAGUGAAGAGGCCAACCUCAAAGCCCAGUCUGAAGCCAAGCAAUGCCCUGUUUCCCAAAUUUAAUCAAAGCAAUUUAAUUGUAAACAUGAAUACAAACUAUCAAAGAGCCGAGGAGACAGUGACUCUCGUGUUCAAAACUAACUAUACUAAUAUAUAUGUUUGUUUCUUUGUUUAUUUAUUUAUUUAUUAAAAAGAAAAAAACCUGAAAUAUCACAUUGAGUAUUCAAGUAUUCAGACCCAAUAACUCAGUACUUAGUUGAAGCACCUUUGGCAAAGUCUUUUUUUUUUUUUUGAAAAAAAAAAAUACACAAGUUAGUGAUGCUUCAUGUAACCUAAAUCUUUAAAGGUUUUCUGUUUGCUAAUAAGCGAGCUAACAUCACGCUAACCGCUGUGUGAAAAUACUAUAUUAGCUGAACCGAGCUAAUGCUAUGCUAAACACUUUGUGUAAAUACUAAAAUUAGCUGUGUUUGCUAGUAAGCAAGCUAAUGUUCCCAAUUUAUUUAAAAAAAAUUUUUUGGAGUUCAUUUCCAAAUUCAGUUAUUUAUUCCUGAUUUUGUGUUCAUUCUUGGUUCUCUGAGGACAAUUCCCACUUGAUUUCAUUGUUCAAGGGAACAGUAGAUGAAAUAAGUUACACAUUGAAUUAAUCGCCAAUCGUAAGCUUGUUCUCGAGUUUUUCCAGCAGCCAGUUAUUCAUUCUCAUUAAUAACGUAUUCAGAGGAAAAUUCAAUUUACCUGUAUUCAUUUAUAUUUAUGUAUUUCUGUAAAUUUGGUUCAUUUUAAAGAUUUGAAUUUUGAAUUAACACAAUAUUGUGUGGUAUCACGAUACUUCAGCUGGUAUAGUAUUGUUUAUGGUAUUGUGAGAACCCUACUAAGGAGUGUCUUGUUUACCAGAAUUGAGACUCUAGAGUAUUCUUACCUACAGCAAUCCUGACCUCCCCAGUGUCCAGACAGAACCAGGACUAGAACCUUGUUGGUGGUGGGGGUGUUAUUAUUUUUGUUUUUGAUGAUGUUAAUGAUGAUGAUGAUGGUGAUGCUGUAAUUGUUGUUGUUGUUGUUAUUAUUAUUAUUAAUUGAUUGAAACCUUUUAAUAUUUCUUGAAUAUUUGAACAUUUUUUUAAAAUAAACAUCUUAUUUAAAUAUAUUUUUUGAAAUGAGAAAAUAUUAUUACAAGACAAGAGCACGGCUAAUAAUCUCUCUCUCUCUCUCUCAAUAAUUAAUUAAAAUGAUGCUGAUAUUUUUCACUGUUCAUUAAUUUUCCCCAACACAGCUUGCUAAGUAUUAUAUCCACAGUUAUGUUAGCCUACAUGUUUAUUAAUUCAUUGACCUUUCAUUUUCCCAUCUUUAUACUUAAGAAAGCAUAUUGUUUGUAGGAGAUAUAAGAUAAGUGUAACGUUAUUCUAUAUUAUAGAGGUAUUUAUAUUUACAUUAUAUUUACACUAUGGCCACCUGAAAGUGAUUUUUUUGAUUAAUUAUUUAUUUCAUUAUUUUAUUAGCAUACUUGUAGAGAUCAACGUGUAAUACAUGACAGUGAAAUAUGACUUGGAAUAAUAUUGAAAACAGGUUAAGAUAAACGUUAAAGCGUGUCCCCUGAAACACAGGUUGCCCCUGCCCGCCCCUCGGGUUUUCUCCAAUACACAACCUACGCUCAGGUCAAUCACUAAACUCAGACUUGUGAGAUGCGGCAAUUUAAUCUUCCAGAGCAGCAAUUUCCACAAUAAGAAGGAGAAAAUAUUACAGGUCAUGGAAUAUUACAGGUCAUACAUGGUGUUGCUACAUUUCUAUUCUGAUAAAGUUCAAUAACUUGGUGCAAUCAUAAAUGUUUGAUUUGUAACAUUUUAUAGGUGAACUAAGUCCAUGGUUCUGUUGAAAAUUAUAUAGAAAUUGUUCCAUAACUGAUAACAAAAUAAAUAAUAUUUCAAAAAAAUG